AAAUCAUUUUUUCAGAUGCUACCUGGGGACUCCUGCAGCUGCUGUGCAUUUUCUUGGAAUCUCUCAUGGAACCAUGCGUGAUGACUGUUUCUACAUCUCUGCAUGGGAAGGAACUCAGGGAUAGAGGGCACCCCGUUCCAUCCCCAUCCCAGCCCCUAGUGCAGGGGAAGAGAGCCGUGGAUGUUAACUAUUCACCUUCAGAUGCCCUUUCAUGGGGUAGGAACUGGGAAGGGCAGAGGUAGUAACAUCUGAACAAAGCUGGGUGAAUUCCCACGGAAGACGGAGCAUCGAGCCGUCAAUGCCUUUUGGUAAACAAGUCGCAGCUCUUCCGUCUUGGCUCAUCCUCAUGGGCACAUCCCAGUGGUGUUCCCUGCCCACCUCUGCACCCACAUUUUAAGUGCCUGGAAUGUGUGAGACAGAUCCUGCCCUUUCCUUCACCAAGCCACCUAGCAGAACCCACGCCAUCCAGGGCAUCUGCGAGAGAAACACCUCUCCCAGCCUCCCCUGAGCAGCCCACUAGCGCUGUGGAUUCCAGAUCCUGAAACUGCAUCUUGCACUCGGUGUCCUGAGCCCAGCUGAAGUGGCAGGAGCACCACUGACUCCAGAACAGACUUGUAAAGAAAGAAGGUAUCUCCCAAGUCAGCCACAGAGGCUCAUGGUUUCCUGCUCCAUCUAGUCCUGGGUGUUUGCUUAAAUGGGCACUGGCUGACAUGACUGAAACCUCAUGCAUCCAUCACACAUUCACCCUCAACAAAGACACAGCCCCUCCUUUAAGGCCUGCGCUCCCUGUACAUACACAGUGCCCUGCAGCACAGAGAAACCACAUGAAUGGCCUUCUUGGCUCAAGGAGUCAGGGAGUAGGGGCCUGCUGAGCAUGACCAUGUCCAGAGAGUGGGGACCCCGAGAACUGUAACAGCCCAUUGGACAGAUGUGGGCAGGAAUGGGGACAAAAUCACCCACAGUCUCAGACCCCAAAUGAGGUGUGAAUAUGAAAUCCAUGAAAACCUCAUGUGGAGGCCAAAAGACUAACUAGAUUCCCAUCUCAUCUCUCCAGGCCAGAAGCCUAUUAUCCAAUCCUUCCUCUCAUUGCAAGCCCCAGAAGUAACAGCAAUUACAAAAUAAAGAAAAAUAAGAACUUGUCAGCUC
rnacentral:lncRNA from 1 species